CAGCAGCCACGGGAAUACGUAGGUGGCAAGCGUUAUCCGGAAUUAUUGGGCGUAAAGCGCGCGUAGGCGGUUUUUUAAGUCUGAUGUGAAAGCCCACGGCUCAACCGUGGAGGGUCAUUGGAAACUGGAAAACUUGAGUGCAGAAGAGGAGAGUGGAAUUCCACGUGUAGCGGUGAAAUGCGUAGAGAUGUGGAGGAACACCAGUGGCGAAGGCGACUCUCUGGUCUGUAACUGACGCUGAGGAGCGAAAGCGUGGGGAGCGAACAGGAUUAGAUACCCCCGUAGUCCCUGUCUCUUAUAC
rnacentral:rRNA from 1 species